UCAUUCUGGACACGGCCGCAUGGAUCUC
rnacentral:piRNA from 1 species